rnacentral:rRNA from 1 species
AUUGAACGCUGGCGGCAUGCUUUACACAUGCAAGUCGAACGGUAACAGGGAGCUUGCUCCGCUGACGAGCGGCGAACGGGUGAGUAAUGCGUCGGAACGUGCCGAGUAGUGGGGGAUAACGCAGCGAAAGUUGUGCUAAUACCGCAUACGUACUGAGGUAGAAAGUGGGGGACCUUCGGGCCUCACGCUAUUCGAGCGGCCGACGUCUGAUUAGCUAGUAGGGGAGGUAAAGGCUCGCCUAGGCGACGAUCAGUAGCCGGUCUGAGAGGAUGAUCCGCCACACUGGGACUGAGACACGGCCCAGACUCCUACGGGAGGCAGCAGUGGGGAAUUUUGGACAAUGGGCGAAAGCCUGAUCCAGCCAUGCCGCGUGUCUGAAGAAGGCCUUCGGGUUGUAAAGGACUUUUGUCGGGGAGGAAAUCCCCAGCGCUAAUACCGCUGGGGGAUGACAGUACCUGAAGAAUAAGCACCGGCUAACUACGUGCCAGCAGCCGCGGUAAUAC